CCCGCCGCCGCCGGCCGCCGUCACUGAUCCUCCCUCGAAUCGAAAGGUAAUUUCUCGCAGGAUCUAGGAAGCAAAUUUCGGCCCGUUCGAAGCCGACGAGGAUGUGGAAGACGGUGAGGGAUGAACUUGAACAUCUACUGGAUGAUGACAUGGAUAUGGCAGAGAUGUACCUUACGGAGAAGCUUAUGUCUAAUUGAGUUGGCGAGAUGUCUUCGAGAGGGGAUCUUGACAAUGAUGGUUCUGAAAUGGAUGAAGAGAGAGAUGAAAAUUUUAAAAAUGAGACAGAGAACAACCAUGGAAGUUAUAUUGGUUUCAACCCUUGCAUUGAAGAAUUGGAGAUGCUCUUAGAGGCCUACUUUAUGCAGAUAGAUGGUACCUUAAACAAACUUUCCUCUGGAUUGGAGAUUGAUUAUGUCAGAGAUGAUGAUGGAUGGAUCGAAUCGGAGGGUCAACUCGGUUCAUCAUAGUUAUGAAACAGUCAUGGAGAAGGUCGUUAAGAAGAUCUCGGAGUAGGAAAUUUCCUCGCCUAAAUAAUCUAAGACCCCGUUUAAGCUUGCAAUAGUUCUAUUUCAGGUUUUGCUCUUAUUUCUCUUCUUUUUACUGGCUUUGUUUCUUUUUUUCCCUAAUGAUAAAUAUAUGAUUUUAUAAUGUUUGUCUUUAAGGCACGAUAUAGUUAAGAGGUUAGUUUGCAUUAUUUUGUAUGAUGAAGUAAAAUAUGCAUCAAGAGAUAACUCAUUCGUAAAAAUUCAUGAUUGGUUGUCACUCAAGUGACUGACUCAUGAAUAUAUGUUAUAUUGAAUGUAAA